UGAAGUCAGCGGCGGACGGGUGAGUAACACGUGGGCAACCUGCCUGUAAGACUGGGAUAACUCCGGGAAACCGGGGCUAAUACCGGAUAACUCUUUUCCUCACAUGAGGAAAAGCUGAAAGAUGGCAUCUCGCUAUCACUUACAGAUGGGCCCGCGGCGCAUUACCUAGUUGGUGAGGUAACGGCUCACCAAGGCCACAAUGCGUAGCCAACCUGAAAGGGUGAUCGGCCACACUGGGACUGAAACACGGCCCAAACUCCUACGGGAGGCAGCAGUAGGGAAUCUUCCGCAAUGGACAAAAGUCUGACGGACCACCGCCCCGUGAGUGAUGAAGGUUUUCGGAUCGUAAAACUCUGUUGUCAGGGAAAAACAAGUACCGGAGUAACUGCCGGUACCUUGACGGUACCUGACCAGAAAGCCACGGCUAACUACGUGCCACCACCCGCGGUAAUACGUAGGUGGCAAGCGUUGUCCGGAAUUAUUGGGCGUAAAGCGCGCGCAGGCGGUUCCUUAAGUCUGAUGUG
rnacentral:rRNA from 2 species